rnacentral:rRNA from 1 species
AGCAGCUGCAGUAAUUCCAGCUCCAAUAGCGUAUAUUAAAGUUGUUGCAGUUAAAAAGCUCGUAGUUGAAUUUCGAGACCGGUUUAUUGGUCGUGCUUUUGUACGUACUGGUAUUAUUGGUUUCUCCUUUCUGACGAAUCUUAAUGCCAUUAAUUUGGUGUUUUGGGGAAUCAGGACUGUUACUUUGAAAAAAUUAGAGUGUUUAAAGCAGGCUCACGCUUGAAUACAUUAGCAUGGAAUAACGGAAUAGGACGUUUGAUUCUAUUUUGUUGGUUUCUAGGAUCGACGUAAUGAUUAAUAGGGAUAGUUGGGGGCAUUAGUAUUCAAUUGUCAGAGGUGAAAUUCUUGGAUUUAUUGAAGACUAACUACUGCGAAAGCAUUUGCCAAGGAUGUUUUCAUUAAUCAAGAACGAAAGUUAGGGGAUCGAAGACGAUCAGAUACCGUCGUAGUCUUAACCAUAAACUAUGCCGACUAGGGAUCGGAUGAUGUUAAUUUUUAAUGACUCAUUCGGCGCCUUACG